CAUCAGUGAGAGGACCGGUGUUUCCAGGUUCUGUGUCUGGCUCGGCCAGCAUCGAUGUGGAGCUUGGCACUGGACAGGAGGUACUCUGCUGGCCUCUGCUUCAUCCCAGAAACUUGCUUAACAAACAUUAGGCACUUCUACACCUGCCUUCUGGACCAAGUAGGGAGAUGAAUGAAGGAAGGACUGUCCUAAAAGGAUCUUACAUUUUUUUUUAAAGCUAACCUCUUAAUGAAUCCUGGAAGUAGUUUUAAAAAGGGAAAGAAUGCAGCAAGCCUCUGAAAGGAGAGAGAGAGAGAGUGUGUGUAUAUGUGUGUGUGUGUGUGUGUGUGCAUUUGGAGGAGGAGAGGGAGGGGAAACAUGAGGUCCUUCCUGGGCAGUGGAGAAAGAGAAAGGUUUGAAAGCUUGCUGGUUCUCUCGGCAGCCACCAUCUUGUCAACCACAUAUGCUGCCGUGCAAGUCACUCUGCCGGUAAGGAGCCUGGCCACCAUCCAUUCUGUAUCAUGCUUUCUCUGCAGUCCACAUGAUCACUGCAGCUCCCUCAAGUGCCCAGGGCUGGCUGGGAAGAAAUUUUCUUCUUACAACGGUAACCAAAGCCAUCAAAUUAUAUUGAGAUCAGAAAUAAAUACAUCCUCUAGGAAAAAAAGAUCUUUGUCUCUGGGUGGACCAGCUGUGUGGUCAAAGCUAAAGAUGAUAUCAUGACAUCAUGGGUAACAAGCUGAAGCCAUUUCUCAUGCCCCAAACAAGGCUACACAAAGUGCUACCAGGAGACUUCACCUGACCAUCCUCAAAUUUCUGGAACCUUCUAGCUAUUGGGAAAGGCCUGGAAGAGGACAGUCUCAUGUGGCAGCCCUUAGCCUACUUGAAUGAAAUCUGACAAAUAUUGUAAAAAUACAGUCCAUUUAAAAACUUCAGUGGAUCUUCG
rnacentral:lncRNA from 1 species